CGGGAAUUUUCCACAAUGGGCGAAAGCCUGAUGGAGCAACGCCGCGUGAACGAUGAAGGUCUUCGGAUUGUAAAGUUCUGUUGUCAGGGACGAACAAGUACCGUUCGAACAGGGCGGUACCUUGACGGUACCUGACGAGAAAGCCCCGGCUAACUACGUGCCAGCAGCCGCGGUAAUACGUAGGGGGCAAGCGUUGUCCGGAAUUAUUGGGCGUAAAGCGCGCGCAGGCGGUCGGGUAAGUCUGAUGUCAAAGCCCGGGGCUCAACCCCGGUACGCAUUGGAAACUGCUCGACUUGAGUGCAGAAGAGGAAAGCGGAAUUCCACGUGUAGCGGUGAAAUGCGUAGAGAUGUGGAGGAACACCAGUGGCGAAGGCGGCUUUCUGGUCUGUAACUGACGCUGAGGCGCGAAAGCGUGGGGAGCAAAC
rnacentral:rRNA from 1 species